rnacentral:rRNA from 1 species
CCUACGGGGGGCAGCAGUGAGGAAUAUUGGUCAAUGGUCGCGAGCCUGAACCAGCCAAGUAGCGUGAAGGAUGACUGCCCUACGGGUUGUAAACUUCUUUUAUACAGGAAUAAAGUGAGGCACGUGUGCCUUUUUGUAGGUACUUCAUGAAUAAGGACCGGCUAACUCCGUGCCAGCAGCCGCGGUAAUACGGAGGAUCCGAGCGUUAUCCGGAUUUAUUGGGUUUAAAGGGAGCGUAGGUGGGUUGUUAAGUCAGCUGUGAAAGUUUGCGGCUCAACCGUAACAGUGCGAUUGAUACUGGCAUCCUUGAGUGCAGUUGAGGUAGGCGGAAUUCGUGGUGUAGCGGUGAAAUGCUUAGAUAUCACGAAGAACUCCGAUUGCGAAGGCAGCCUACUAAACUGCCACUGACAUUGAUGCUCGAAGGUGUGGGUAUCAAACAGGAUUAGAUACCCCUGUAGUC